rnacentral:ncRNA from 17 species
AUGAACGAGUUCCAGUGCUACGACACAAAGCUGAGAUUGUACCGUCAGAACUCGAUCAAGUUAAUGCUUGCGUGAGAAACGUGCUGCCGCUUCUA